UCCGGCUGAAAUAAGGUCUAUCUUGUAGAGGGUACCCAUAGGGACUCUCAUACCAAAUUUGAGCUCAUUUGGUUGAAAACUGGCUUGUCGCUCGGGGGUUAAAGUUUACAUGGAAAUUACUAUGGGAAAUGCGUGAUUUUACUUCAAACGCUCCUACAGGCUAAGCGACAAACUUUAACCCACACUUACACUAGGUAGCCGUGUCGGGGAUGGUCCAAGGAACAUUUUUCUCUAAGGGUUCAUGGUCAUCCGUUCAACCCUGAGCUUGCGCAACGCGGAUUUAUCCGGCGGCGCCGGAUUCCUUCAAAAUAUCCGUUUUUAUGGUCAACGCAUGCUGCAAGCUAUGACAGAAGCAUUGUUUGAAUGAAUGGAAAACGCGACGCCAAACGUCAACUCACUCAAAUGUAAGCAGAAAAAAAAGAGCGGUAUGCGGUACGCGAAUUAAGGUAUGCAAGAAACAUAAUUGAAUUAAAAAAAAACCCUUCAUGUGGUAGGACUUCGUAGAGGGAAACAGUUAAUCGCACAGGGCCGAUGGAAUCGACGGUGAGGGGUUCGCGAGGUGUUUACCGGAGUAGUCAUCGAAAUGGCAGGACACGUAGCGGUAGUUACGGUUGGACUUCGUGGAGGGAAGCGGUUGAUCGACGCACAGAGCUAUAGCCGGCUUGGGGUUCGCCUGGCAGAGCCAGUGGUAUCGUCGGCGAGAUGUUCACCGGAAUUGGCCUUAUUGAAGCGGAUAAUUUAUCUAUUUGUAAAAAAAAACAUACUAAGAAAGAAUAGCUUUUUCUUUAUUUUUUUGAAUUUUAGAUCAAUAAAAGUUAUUUUAGUAAGGCUU